rnacentral:tRNA from 6 species
GGGCCGUUAGCUCAGUUGGUAGAGCGUCGCUAUGGCAUAGCGAAGGUCACCGGUUCAAGUCCGGUACGGUCCACAA